UACGGAGGGAGCUAGCGUUGUUCGGAAUUACUGGGCGUAAAGCGCACGUAGGCGGCUACUCAAGUCGGGGGUGAAAGCCCGGGGCUCAACCCCGGAACUGCCCUCGAAACUAGGUAGCUAGAAUCUUGGAGAGGUCAGUGGAAUUCCGAGUGUAGAGGUGAAAUUCGUAGAUAUUCGGAAGAACACCAGUGGCGAAGGCGACUGACUGGACAAGUAUUGACGCUGAGGUGCGAAGCGUGGGGAGCAAAACAGG
rnacentral:rRNA from 1 species